rnacentral:tRNA from 1 species
GGGCUCAUGGUCCAUCGGCACGAUAUCGCUUUGACUUAGCGAUGAGCUCGGUUCGACUCCGGGUGGGCCCA